rnacentral:tRNA from 1 species
GUGGGAUUAGUGUAAUGGUAACAUGUAACCCUUCCAAGGUUAAUUUGACAGUUCGAGUCUGUUAUCCCACU